rnacentral:tRNA from 1 species
CUAUUUUGACAGAUUAAUGUGUUAAAUUUAGAAUUUGAUUAUGUAUAAAUUAUUUACAGGUAGA